rnacentral:rRNA from 1 species
UACAGAGGUGGCAAGCGUUGUUCGGAAUUACUGGGCGUAAAGGGCGCGUAGGCGGUUUUGUAAGUCAGACGUGAAAUCCCCAGGCUUAACUUGGGAACUGCGUCUGAUACUGCAAAACUUGAGUGCGGGAGAGGGAUGUGGAAUUCCAGGUGUAGCGGUGAAAUGCGUAGAGAUCGGGAGGAACAUCAGUUGCGAAGGCGGCUCUCUGGACCAGUACUGACGCUGAGGCACGAAAGCGUGGGGAGCAAACAGG